rnacentral:rRNA from 1 species
AUUGAACGCUGGCGGCAGGCCUAACACAUGCAAGUCGAGCGAGCGGCGGACGGGGGAGUAAUGCCCGGGAAACUGCCUGAUGGAGGGGGAUAACUACAGGAAACGGUAGCUAAUACUGCAUACCAUCAGAUGUGAACAGAUGGGAUUAGGUAGUGGGUGGGGUAAUGGCCCACCUGGGAGACGAUCCCUAGCUGGUCUGAGAGGAUGACCGGCCACACUGGAACGGAGACACGGUCCAGACUCCAACGGAGGGCAGCAGUGGGGAAUAUUGCACAAUGGGCGCAAGCCUGAUGCAGCCAUGCCGCGGGUGUGAAGAAGGCCUUCGGGUUGUAAAGCACUUUCAGCGGGGAGGCGUUACCCGCAGAAGAAGCACCGGCUAACUCCGUGCCAGCAGCCGCGGUAAUAC